CCUACGGGUGGCAGCAGUGAGGAAUAUUGGUCAAUGGGCGAGAGCCUGAACCAGCCAAGUCGCGUGAGGGAUUACUGCCCUAUGGGUUGUAAACCUCUUUUGUCGGGGAGCAAAAGCCGGACGUGUCCGGCUGUGAGAGUACCCGAAGAAAAAGCAUCGGCUAACUCCGUGCCAGCAGCCGCGGUAAUACGGAGGAUGCGAGCGUUAUCCGGAUUUAUUGGGUUUAAAGGGUGCGCAGGCGGAUUUUUAAGUCAGCGGUAAAAUCGUGGGGCUCAACCCCAUCCAGCCGUUGAAACUGGGGAUCUAGAGUGUGCGAGAGGUAUGCGGAAGGCGUGGUGUAGCGGUGAAAUGCAUAGAUAUCACGCAGAACCCCGAUUGCGAAGGCAGCAUACCGGUGCACAACUGACGCUCAGGCACGAAAGCGUGGGUAUCGAACAGGAUUAGAUACCCCUGUAGUC
rnacentral:rRNA from 1 species